rnacentral:rRNA from 1 species
UACGUAGGCAGCAAGCGUUGUUCGGAAUUACUGGGCGUAAAGAGUGUGUAGGCGGUGCUCUAAGUUCGGUGUGAAAUCUCCCGGCUUAACUGGGAGGGUGCGCCGGAAACUGGAGUGCUUGAGCGCGGGAGAGGAAAGCGGAAUUCCUGGUGUAGCGGUGAAAUGCGUAGAUAUCAGGAGGAACACCUGCGGUGUAGACGGCUUUCUGGACCAUUGUUGACGCUGAGACACGAAAGCGUGGGUAGCAAACAGG